rnacentral:rRNA from 1 species
GCCAGACUCCUACGGGAGGCAGCAGUGGGGGAUAUUGCACCAUGGGGGAAACCCUGCUGCAGCGACGCCGCUUGUGGGACGCCCGUCAUCUGGAUUGUCCACAACUGUCCCCCUGGACGAAGCUGCCGGUACCUGUUUCUUCAGCUCCGUCUCCCUACGUGCCCGCCGCCGCGGUAAUCCGUCGGGAGCAAUCUUUGUCCGGAAUUCCUGUGUGUAAAGGGAGCGUAGGCGGGAUGGCAAGUUGGGUGUUAAAUCUACCGGAGCAACUGGUAGUCGCACUCAAAACUGCUAUUCUUGAGUGAAGUAGAGGCAGGCGGAAUUCCUAGUGUAGCGGUGAAAUGCGUAGAGAUGAGGAGGAACACCAGUGGCGAAGGCGGCCGGCUGGGCUUUAACUGACGCUGAGGCUCGAAAGCGUGGGGAGCAAACAGGAUUAGAUACCCCAGUAC